ACAAUUUGCAGAGGGAAAAUGUUGACAAUUUCAAAAAUUUCAAUCGCAAAUCAAUUAAUUGCAAUUAUAUCCACUUAAGCAUCCGUUGAAAGAAAGAAAUGUUAUUUGUUGUGAUAAGAGAAUUUCAGAGAUUAAUAAUCAUUGCAACAAUUGCAUUAGAUUUAUACAUUCACUCAAUUAUACCACAUUAUACUAGUUCCAAUCGUCGUUCUACAAAAGUAACACAUUUGCCUCAACAUUUGCAAUAAAAUAUUGGUUGAGCUGUGGAAUUAGCAACAACAAAAAAAAAACAGAUCCAUCCUCACAAUUUACUUGGAAAACGGGUCGCUGACACAAGUUGUAUCAGUGAAACCAUGCACCUGACUGAAUAGCUGAAGAAAGACUGGUAUACAAUAUCGCUUGAAGAUUGACCACAUUGAUCCAAAGCAUUGAACUUGACUUUCUGCAAUUAUUUAUGAAUUAAACUGUACAUCCAAAUGCUUCACCUAAUCAUUUGCUACUGAACCAAACCGCCGCUCCAGCAGAUGGUAUAACUUACUUUACUAUAUUUUUAUAAAGUUUCAACUUUAUGAAUCACUCCCGUUUAUUUUUAAUUUGGUCUGGACUGUUAUUAUAGCAGCAUCGGCAUGAAUUUUAAAAUAAUCUGUUGGCGAAGAAAUGUUGCAUGCAACACUUACGAUCCAUAAAUGGGUGACAAUCAAAUGUUGUAGUGUUAAUAAAGCAAUUAUAUUAUU